rnacentral:rRNA from 1 species
UCUGGCUCCUCUGGAGUCCGAGUUGUAAUUUGUAGAAGAUGCUUUGGGCGGUGGGUUCGGCCUAAGUUCCUUGGAACAGGACGUCAUAGAGGGUGAGAAUCCCGUAUGUGGCCGAGGCCCCACGCCUAUGUAAAGCUCUUUCAACGAGUCGAGUUGUUUGGGAAUGCAGCUCAAAAUGGGUGGUAAAUUUCAUCUAAAGCUAAAUAUGGGCCAGAGACCGAUAGCGCACAAGUAGAGUGAUCGAAAGAUGAAAAGCACUUUGGAAAGAGAGUUAAACAGUACGUGAAAUUGUUGAAAGGGAAGCGCUUGCAACCAGACUUGGGCGCUGCCGAUCACCAAGAGUUCGUCUCGAGUGCACUCGACAGCGCACAGGCCAGCAUCGGUUCGGGUGGCUGGAUAAAGGCCGUAGGAACGUGGCUCCCUUCGGGGAGUGUUAUAGCCUACGGUGCCAUGCAGCCCAGCCGGACCGAGGACCGCGCCUUCGGGCUAGGAUGCUGGCGUAAUGGUUGUAAGCGACCCGUCUUGAAACACGGACCAAGGAGUCUAACAUCUAUGCGAGUGUUUGGGUGAUAAAACCCAUACGCGGAAUGAAAGUGAACGUAGGUGAGAACCCCCUUGGGGCGCAUCAUCGACCGAUCCUGAUGUCUUCGGAUGGAUUUGAGUAAGAGCAUAGCUGUUGGGACCCGAAAGAUGGUGAACUAUGCCUGAAUAGGGUGAAGCCAGAGGAAACUCUGGUGGAGGCUCGCAGCGGUUCUGACGUGCAAAUCGAUCGUCAAAUUUGGGCAUAGGGGCGAAAGACUAAUCGAACCAUC